rnacentral:rRNA from 1 species
AGUGAAUGCUGGCGGUAGGCCUAACACAUGCAAGUCGAACGGCAGCACAGUAAGAGCCUGCUCUUACGGGUGGCGAGUGGCGGACGGGUGAGGAAUACAUCGGAAUCUACUUUUUCGUGGGGGAUAACGUAGGGAAACUUACGCUAAUACCGCAUACGACCUACGGGUGAAAGCAGGGGAUCUUCGGACCUUGCGCGAUUGAAUGAGCCGAUGUCGGAUUAGCUAGUUGGCGGGGUAAAGGCCCACCAAGGCGACGAUCCGUAGCUGGUCUGAGAGGAUGAUCAGCCACACUGGAACUGAGACACGGUCCAGACUCCUACGGGAGGCAGCAGUGGGGAAUAUUGGACAAUGGGCGCAAGCCUGAUCCAGCCAUACCGCGUGGGUGAAGAAGGCCUUCGGGUUGUAAAGCCCUUUUGUUGGGAAAGAAAAGCAGCAGGUUAAUACCCCGCUGUUCUGACGGUACCCAAAGAAUAAGCACCGGCUAACUUCGUG